GACGAACGCUGGCGGCGUGCUUAACACAUGCGAGUCGAACGGAAAGGCCCUGCUUUUGUGGGGUGCUCGAGUGGCGAACGGGUGAGUAACACGUGAGUAACCUGCCCUUGACUUUGGGAUAACUUCAGGAAACUGGGGCUAAUACCGGAUAGGAGCUCCUGCUGCAUGGUGGGGGUUGGAAAGUUUCGGCGGUUGGGGAUGGACUCGCGGCUUAUCAGCUUGUUGGUGGGGUAGUGGCUUACCAAGGCGUUGACGGGUAGCCGGCCUGAGAGGGUGACCGGCCACAUUGGGACUGAGAUACGGCCCCGACUCCUACGGGAGGCAGCAGUGGGGAAUAUUGCACAAUGGGCGGAAGCCUGAUGCAGCAACGCCGCGUGCGGGAUGACGGCCUUCGGGUUGUAAACCGCUUUCGCCUGUGACGAAGCGUGAGUGACGGUAAUGGGUAAAGAAGCACCGGCUAACUACGUG
rnacentral:rRNA from 1 species